UACAGAGGUCUCAAGCGUUGUUCGGAUUCAUUGGGCGUAAAGGGUGCGUAGGCGGCGCGGUAAGUCGGGUGUGAAAUCUCGGAGCUUAACUCCGAAACUGCAUUCGAUACUGCCGUGCUUGAGGACUGGAAAGGAGACUGGAAUUUACGGUGUAGCGGUGAAAUGCGUAGAUAUCGUAAGGAAGACCAGUGGCGAAGGCGGGUCUCUGGACAGUUCUUGACGCUGAGGCACGAAGGUCAGGGGAGCAAACGGG
rnacentral:rRNA from 1 species